rnacentral:misc_RNA from 1 species
AUCGAGUACAUUUUGUUUCGCCUUCGCUCCAUCGUCAUCGUCCCUAUCGAUAAUCGGUAACGUUCAACAGGAAGGGACACGUGUCAGUUUCGACCUGGUAAAUUCUCUCAUCGGAUUCUCAUCCAAUCAAUGCUAGUAGUAACAUUGUUUACUUCCCGUUUUACCCCUUAGUUAGGAAGUUAUUUUCAAUUUUGGUCAGGGCCUACUUAAAAUAACUGUAACGUGAUGAAGUGGGACCUGGUUCAGUAUGCGUGUGUGUGUUAUUAUUGCAAUUUCAGUACGUCUUUUUGUAUAGUAAUUUAUUGAU